UGUGCAAUCGACGUUUCGACCCUCACAGGGUCUUCUUCAGCAAAGUCACAAAGAAGACCCUGUGAGGGUCGAAACGUCGAUUGC